rnacentral:rRNA from 1 species
UGGGGAAUAUUGCACAAUGGGCGAAAGCCUGAUGCAGCAACGCCGCGUGAGUGAUGAAGGCCUUCGGGUUGUAAAGCUCUGUCUUUUGGGACGAUAAUGACGGUACCAAAGGAGGAAGCCACGGCUAACUACGUGCCAGCAGCCGCGGUAAUACGUAGGUGGCAAGCGUUGUCCGGAUUUACUGGGCGUAAAGGAUGCGUAGGCGGAUUUUUAAGUGAGAUGUGAAAUACCCGGGCUUAACUUGGGUGCUGCAUUUCAAACUGGGAAUCUAGAGUGCGGGAGAGGAGAAUGGAAUUCCUAGUGUAGCGGUGAAAUGCGUAGAGAUUAGGAAGAACACCAGUGGCGAAGGCGAUUCUCUGGACCGUAACUGACGCUGAGGCAUGAAAGCGUGGGUAGCAAACAGGAUUAGAUACCCUGGUAGUCCACGCCGUAAACGAUGAGUACUAGGUGUAGGAGGUAUCGACCCCUUCUGUGCCGCAGUUAACACAAUAAGUACUCCGCCUGGGAAGUACGAUCGCAAGAUUAAAACUGCAAAUGAAUUGACGGGGUCAUAGCUGUUUCCU